AGCAAUCAAAUCCAACUAGCAUGCUAGAGUAAGUUUAAGUGUGAAGCACGCAUAUUCAAAGCAUAAGUACUAGGUGCAGUCAAGUAGGACCAUAACUAAAUUACAACACCCGAAGGUGAGUCCUACAUGAGUAGUCUGUCAGAAUGCCGUGGAAAUCCUCGUGGGCCACCAACGCUGAUAACUAGAACCUGGAGGGGCGCAAAACAAAGUUGAGUGGGUCAGUAAAACAAAGCUUUUCGAAAACGUUUCAAAUAAUAACAUUUCUAACUGAUCACUCAUAUAUUUCAUGCAUUUAUACCAUCCAUUUCUAAAAUCUUUGUGAUGUUUUUAUGUUAAAAUUGUGGCAUUUUACCUUACCUUGUGUUAAUGUAUAAUUAAUUUUGUUUUAGGAUUAAUUUCAAACAAAAUGUGCUGAAAAGAAAAUAAAAGACAAGGGAGCAGAAAUAAUGGACUCAUUGAGGAAUAAUCAAAGGAAAAGAAGAAGUGGUGCGGCACUGACUUGAGUGAAAAGCAAAAGAAAUAAAAUAGGUAGAAAUAGUGGGCAUGGCAGACAUAAAGGAGUGGGAGAGCAUGACUGCUAAGAAAAAGAAAAGAAAUAUAAAAGAAAUGACGAGAGACCAAGAGAAAGAGACGGCAAAGGCAGGAAAAAAAUAGAAAUAAAAAGGGCAGAGAGCAGAGGCAGGAGGGUGCGGAAAAGAAUAAAAGAGAGAGAAGCAGAAAGCUGCCCCUUGGCAGCUCGAGCAGAAGGACAGAAGUGGGCAGGAAGGCAGGGAAAGUGACAGUGUGAGGGAGAGAGCAAAGUUGUCUUCUCUCCCGGUUAAAUCUUUCCAAACUUAUAUUUUACUUUUGGUUUAAUUUGAUAAUAAUGUGUAACUAAUUUUUAGUAGUUAGGGGCUGUUUUGAAGCCCCGAAUAUGAUUGUAUGUUUGUUGUGAUAUUUUGUUUGAAUGACUUUUAUGAAAGGAUGAAAAUUGUUUCACUACUUAUGUCAUUGAUAAAUUCUUUAUGUGUUUCUAUGGAUGCAUACAUCGUGAGCAUAUCUAGGAUUUUAAUGCUAUGAAUAUAUGUCUGCCUGCCCUUGUUGAAUGAGGACCUACAUAUGUUCUAGAGUAGCACUUGUUAAUUGUGGUUAACAUGUGAAACGAUUUCUAGGAUAAGUAAGACAACAUCAGUACUUACGAUGCCUUGUGAUGACUCAAACUCUUUUUAUUCUUAAUGAUUUCUACUUGUUAAAUCUAUGAACACACCAUUCUAGAUUGCAUGCUAGGGACUAAGUUAAGUUGAAAACGUCAUUCUCUUAACAUACUACGUAAGAAAGAGUAAUAGGUUGUGUUCUAACAUUGAGCCAACUUGAGCAUCUUCAUCCGGAAAUAAAAGGAAUUUGAAUGAAACAUAACAUGUUUGCAUGAUUAUUUGGUGGUGGAUAGCAUGUCCCCUAACUCGUUUUCUUAACUUGUGAAUUAAAAUCUAUUGGUAUUAUUUAAAAUCUGUUUCUGUACUGUUUUUGUACGAUUUAAUUUAAAUAGAAAAUCAACUCCAAAAAUCCCAAAAUUUUGUGAGACUGUCGUACUGUGUGUCUAGUUUAUGUGUAUAAAAUGUCGUUGCAUUUGGAUAAGUGUAAGUUAGUUUAAUAAUUAUUGUUCGGUGGCUGGUCAGUGGAGACAGCCACCCUGUUUUUGUGACAUUUUUAAGUAUUUGGAUAAAACAAUCUUCUGCGGGAAAGACCCUUAUUUUCAUAUGCUACAAUUGACAAAUCUUAGUGUUAAUAAGGAAAAUUAAUAGGAUUAUUGUGUGCUACUUUGUGGUGCGUUAUAAAUUCCUAUCAACCCCUCGCUGUAAAACCUGUAUACUUUCCCAGAAAAUAACAUAAUAUGCAUAUGAUCUUCAUAUAUCUCAAAUCACAAUUCUUAAUCAAAAAUCAGAAGGUAUGCCAUGUAAUAAAUGUCAACAACAGAAUAAGAAUGCAACAUUAUAACAGGUGAAAUAAGGAAUCAACCGGAGACCCUGCAGUUGGUCCUGUACGGUUAAUUCUAAAGCUCAAUAUCCCAUCCAACCGGAGUCACCGCAGUGACCUGUAUGGCCCUACUCUGCACAUAAAUCGGAACUACCUGAAGUAGUCUGUACAAUAAGAAAUGUGUAAGAAUACGCUCUAGUGCUUUUCUCAUCAACAGCUGUAUAAUAAUCUAAAAUCACGUACAGUCGGAACCACUCUAUGGUCUGUAUGACAUGUCGGAACCCUCUCAUGGACUGUACGACAUGCACCUACUUGGAUCCAAGGUGAGCGUGUGGUGCGGGGUGAAUAAUAUAAGCACUAACAACAAGGGUUCAGGUUAUGAGCUCUCAACACAAUUCACAUCAUCAAUAGUUCAAAUGAAUAACAUAAACUCACAUGAUACUCACAUGUGCGUCCACAACACCAUUUCACAUAUAUGUGCAUCAAUUACUAAUUCAUAUAAUUCAUAAUAUGCAUGCAUGACAUUUUAAAAACAUACUUUCAUUUAAAUUCGAUUUUUGGGAAAUUCAGUAGUAUAUAGGUAAUAACAGAAAAUAACUGCCCACUCACUGAUAAGUUGAAAGGUCGUAACCCCCGUGACGUCCUUGAAUGCACUCGUCCUUGGGAUAGGUAUCACUUAUAUGCGAAACAACUAUAAAAACGUUAAUUAAAGCACAUAACCGACAAUUCAAAAUAACUUCUCAUACGAUGCUCAAUUUGGGUAUAUGAAUAUACCACAGUGACCUACUCGACGUCACGGAUGUCGAGGUAUUUUUUGAAAAAAAAUUCGAGGCUGCACGCGCCCCCACGCGCCGGGAGGGACACGAACUCACGCGCCCCCACGCGCGUCACCUUCUUCCUCCAGUCGCUAGACUGGUUUUGCCGAUCGUCGGAAAACUGGAGAUUUUUCAAUCUCCUUGUUCUCCGUCAUUUCUCCACCAUUUUCUACGUAUUUUAUAUCAAAAUGAAGCCCUAAGUAUGUAGAAUCACGUUACACUACUUUAAGGUUUCAAAACAUACAAAAUCUCACCAGAGAAAUUCCAAGAAAACCGGCCAACUUCGAACUCGGCGAUCCCGACAUCCCAAACCUUCAAACUAAGCACUCCGAGCUUCCUUGGGACCUCACUAAGCUCCCUGUAAGCUUAGAAUUCCCUAAAAAUCAACAAUUCACAUGUGCAUGAACAGUGACAUCAAACUGGGGUUCGGAUUUCACGCGAUAUCGAAGAUUCUAAGUUCCAAGAAUGAUACCAUUCAACUCAGGAGGUUGCAAGGUUGAAGAAACUCACCUUAUUGACGUCGAUCCGUGAUGUUUUGAGGGAUUUUGGGUUCUUGUCCGUACGGUGAGAGAGAGAGAGAGAGAGAGAGAGAGAGAGAGAGAGAGAGAGAGAGAGAGAGAAAAACUGAGAGGGAAGAGAGAGAGCACGGGGAAGGAAAGGGUUUGUCCCGUGUGUGUGUGUGUGGUCCACCCAAAACAAGCCACUCUUUAAUUCCCUAACCACACAAAUAUACACACAUCCUUUAAUCCAACUUAAAUUUUCCAAAACUUAGGAAAAUAUGCAUUAUUCAAAACAUGCCACACACAUACCUUAGUAACCGUCGAGGGUACUUUCGUCAUUUCACAACCUCGAUAAAUAGAAUCUCGGGACGAGCUGUGACAGUUUUGUUUUAUUUAUAGUAUUAUAAAUAAAAGAUUCUUACUUAAUGUGUAUUCAAUACAUGUAAAAAAUUGCUUAAGUGGUAACAAUAAAUAUAUGUUUAUAUGCAUGUAUAUAAAUACAUAAUUUGUGUACCUAUACAUAUGUACAUAAAAAUAUAUUUAUGUAUUGAUAUAUA
rnacentral:lncRNA from 1 species